rnacentral:lncRNA from 10 species
GUGCCGCAUGGUGGUGGGCCGUGGGGUCCUUCCUAGUUUGUGCUGGUCUUGUGGUUUAGGGAGUUUACUUUCUUACUUGAGAAAACAGCGUGAGAACCUUGAGUGGUUAACUUCCCUUUGCUUUCUUCCCAGUGUGGACCCUGGUCGGGGGCUCCAAGCCAUCCAGAGUCUGGCCCCACCCUUCCUUCUCCAAGAUCAGCAGGAGCUCAGCCAGGGUCAGGUACAGAGGUUCCUACGGCUACACCCUUCUUGGAUACAAAUGGCCCCAGCUUUUAGGAUAAAAAGCAUUCCUGUAAAUCAUGUAAGACAGAUGGCUGUGAGCCUGCGCUUCUGAAUUCAGGUUCCAGAGAAUGAUGGGCAUCAUUAGUGGGCAAAAACUGAAGGAAUUUUUUUAAUAGCCGCCAAAGGCUUAGAAGAAGCCGGGGCUGGAGGCUUCAGUGGGAAGAGUUCUCCCUCUCUGCCUGCAUUUCCCACAGAGCACCUCUCCCGUUUACUGCUUGGGGCUCUCCAGGGCUUCCUGGAUACCUGGUGGGCAUAGAAGGCCUUGAGGCCUGGACCAAGCCUCUCUCCUUCCACUCAGCGUGGAGGCUAAGACGUCCAUCCUCACCAGGGUCUUGCCCUCGGAGAGAUGCCACUCUAAACUUCCUGGAGGGAACGUGCUGAACACCCAGGCCUGGACAACCGAGGAGAAGGAAGAGGAAGAACAGAUUAAAAACUUCCCUGCGUCAGGCUGAGAAAAGAAAAGGAAAAAAAAAAAAAAAGGAAGUGAAGCCUCAGCUCAACCAGCUUGCAUACUUGAAUAACGUGCAGAAAUGAAAAUCUUGAGUUUCAGGUAAAGUUCAUAUCUGUGCCACUGGCUCAGGUGCCCUACAGGCCCCAUUCCUGGACUGCACACCUCGUUUACCUGGGACUGAGCAAAACCCAGGGGAGGACCCAGGUGUCAAGGCUGAAGCUGCUGCAUGCAGGCAACCUGCAUCCUACCCAGCGCUGAACACACAGAUCCCACUCCGUCUUCACGGAACUCGUGGUCAGGGCAGAGGGACACGUUAAAUAUGAGUAUUUCUUUCCCUCUGGGGAUGACAGUUACAGAUCCCAAUCCAUCUUCACAGAACUCGCGGCCAGGGCAGAGGGACACGUUAAAUAUGAGUGUUUGCUUUCCUUUGGGUAUGACAGUUGCAUAUCGUUGAUAAGGGAUUUAGAACACAAAGGAUUUGAAAGCAGGGUGAAUUUCGUCCAGGAUCUAGCAAACAGUCAGUGAUCAAAAAUGUUUCUUCAAGCUCUUCCUGAAUAAACUCAAUACUGUGAAUAUCCAAAGGGCUGAGUUUUCUGAGAUGAGGCUAGACAAGUCCUGUAGGAGACAGAGUGGACAAGUGUGUCACAGCCCCUCGAACCAUUGUGCACCCAGUUUCACUGAGAUGAGACAAGUGUCCUGCAGAAUAGACCAGCACAGCGUGAUCAAUACUUUGAGUGAUCCCAGGUCACCCUGCAGAGGAGUGGGCUAUGAGAGGAGUAACAGCAUCAGCCCAGCUCUGGAUGAGGUGAGGGAUCUUAAAAGACACACUUAGCUCACGGAACCAACUACAUUCUCCUCUGAAAAGGGAAAGAAAAAUGUAAACAGGAAGUCAGAAUUUCUUCUUGAGAAGUUAGUCCCUUUAGGGAGCAGAAAUGGGCUAAAAUAGACAAAGAAACUAAAAUUAAGUCAUUUAAGAAUUUCAUGAAAAUAAAAGGGUCAUCAUCAUCAAUCACGAUUUUGAUAAAAUUUCAUAAAUAUCUUGUGGAAGCUCCUUCCCAUGUUACAAGAGCCCUGGAGGGAAGACGGACGUGCAGUUGGCUGAUGGGGAAGCUUUGGGAAUCCUGACUCUGUCAAGGCUGCCACGCUCAGCAAAAGCAGACUUAGAAGCUAGACCAGGUCCUGGACCCAAAGGUCUUUCUGGAAAAACUGCUAGACGUGCAUUAGGCAACGAAAGAGCAAAGGGGCAUAUUCAGCUUCAACUGCUCUUCAAAAAGAGAGGAACAGAAAGGAUUUUACACUGUGGAGAAUAUUUCAUAAGACUGUGUGAAAAGAACAGACAGAAAGGCCCUACCUGUGCUUGGUUUUUAAAGCUACCUUCCUCAUUGCUUAGAAAUAGGCAUACAGGCCAAGCGCAGUGGCUCUUGCCUGUAAUCCCAGCACUUUGGGAGGCUGAGGCGAGCAGAUCACGAGGUCAAGAGAUUGAGACCAUCCUGGCCA